GGUAAUGUGGCUGAGAUAGGCAAUAAACUGUAAAUUUAUCUACGAAUUGAAAGAUUCCUUUACCA
rnacentral:tRNA from 1 species